ACCAUUACAUUUUAUUUAAUCUUAAGCCCAAUCGUUCUUACCAUUUUCCUCCCUUUCUUGUUCUUCAACUCCGAUUCCAAUCAAAACUUGUGCUCCAUAUUUCAGUAGCCCCUUCCCCUCAACCUUCUGCCAACAUUGCAAGGUUUUAAUGAUUCCGACUGUGAUUCAAAAUUGGAAGGAUAUUUCAGAGAUUUUCAAGUCCACUUGAACAUAAUCUCCCUAGAACCUACGAGAUUGGUUCCGCCAACACCCAGCAUCGAGGUAUUCUAAUGCUGAUUGGGCUGAGUGUCGGAUUUCUUGCUAUUUCAUCGGCCAAAUCAUGUCUCUUGGAGCUCCACCAAACAACCCACCCGCUCAAUUGCCGACUUUUGCUUGUGCCGAAUCUUUGUGGCUUACCUUUGUUCUUCGUGAACUUCGGUAUCACGUGUCUACUUCAAGUUUAUUGUUUCGUGACAACUACCACUUACUGUUGGGUUACGGCUCAAAGUUAAGAUGAUGCAAAAAUUAGGUUUGUGUCGUCUGUUUCUUUUUUGUGUCCUAAUUGGGUUUGGAUUUGACGUUUUGGUUGGAUUCUUUACUUGGUGGGGAGAUUGUGUUAAUUACCUAUGUGAUUAGGAUUUAGAUUUACUUCCAAUUAGGAUUAGUAUUCUUAUUGUAACCUAACUCUUAUGCACUAUAAAUAGAACCUCAGGGUUAGCGUAUUUUGUGUGCCUUACCAUUAGUUUAGAGAGUUUUCUCUAAUUCAGUUUUGGAUGAAGGUCACCGUUUGGAAUCAUGAGUGGAAAAUUCAUGGCUCAUUCGUUUAGCAAUUUGUUGAGAAUUAAUUUGAGUUAGAGAACAAUUUGGGAGAAUCUUCUUCGUUUGUUUGAGUUCUCUACUCGUUUGGUUUAUGGUUUGUAAUUUGUGAGAUUUGGGUUGUGAGAGUUAAACACUCUUUUGUAACCUCUGUUUGUUUAGUGAAAUUCUUCACCAUGCUUCGCCCUGGGCAUAGGCUUUGCACCAAACCACGUUAAAUCUCGUGUUCA